AGAUCGAGCCUACGGGAGACAGCAGUGGGGAAUAUUGCACAAUGGGGGAAACCCUGAUGCAGCGACGCCGCGUGAGUGAAGAAGUAUUUCGGUAUGUAAAGCUCUAUCAGCAGGGAAGAAAAUGACGGUACCUGACUAAGAAGCCCCGGCUAACUACGUGCC
rnacentral:rRNA from 1 species